rnacentral:rRNA from 1 species
AUUGAACGCUGGCGGCAUGCUUUACACAUGCAAGUCGAACGGUAACAGGCCGCAAGGUGCUGACGAGCGGCGAACGGGUGAGUAAUGCAUCGGAACGUGCCCAGUCGUGGGGGAUAACGCAGCGAAAGCUGCGCUAAUACCGCAUACGAUCUCUGGAUGAAAGCGGGGGACCGUACGGCCUCGCGCGAUUGGAGCGGCCGAUGUCAGAUUAGGUAGUUGGUGGGGUAAAGGCUCACCAAGCCAACGAUCUGUAGCUGGUCUGAGAGGACGACCAGCCACACUGGGACUGAGACACGGCCCAGACUCCUACGGGAGGCAGCAGUGGGGAAUUUUGGACAAUGGGCGCAAGCCUGAUCCAGCAAUGCCGCGUGCAGGAAGAAGGCCUUCGGGUUGUAAACUGCUUUUGUACGGAACGAAACGGUCCUGGUUAAUACCCGGGGCUAAUGACGGUACCGUAAGAAUAAGCACCGGCUAACUACGUGCCAGCAGCCGCGGUAACAC